AUACUCUUGUUUCUCUUCAGAGCUAAUAAAUCUUUCGCCUUUUACUAAAGAUUUCCGUAGAGAGGAACAACCAUGAGUUUCAUAUACAAUAAAAAUAUAUAUAUGACACAUAAU